CAGGUCUCCCGCUCCGCAAAGCCGAGUGUCCGUGAGGGAGCGCGAGAGGAGGAGGACAGUGUCCCGGUUGUAAUCGGGGAACAUCCGCCCACAUGGACAUUGUUCAGGAGUCAGGGCCGCACACCAUUGCUCAGACUUGAGACCUGCACUUGGAAAACUGCCUGAAGGAUCCAGAGGAGGAUCUCGCUCGCCUCCACGUCAAGUGACCUGUACAGUCACCUCGGCUCGGGUGGCCUCACAAUGAGCACCAGAGAGCAGUCCAGUCGGACAUCCAUAACUCACGCUGCCCCCUGACACCACGCACAGCGGUGAAGGGCAUAUCAUCAGUGUCUGGAGCUGCUUCACAGCUGUAACCUGUGGCUGGAAUCUUCCCAGGUGGAUGCGACCACUUUUGUUUCCUCCGCCCAUCUCUUGGCUCUUGCCAACCUGCGCCUGAUAUUCUCCGGAACCAGGUAACCAGUGCCCGGAGCAGACGGUUGGAGGAAUCUGCGUGCUUCAGCAGGAACAUGGGCCUGUGUUUGCAGAGUCGGAGGUGGUUAGGAUGCCCAUCGCCAUUGUGAGGGUGUCUCUCCCCGUCAAUAAGUCUUUCGUGACCUGUACAGUCACCUCGGCUCGGGUGGCCUCACAAUGAGCACCAGAGAGCAGUCCAGUCUGACAUCCAUAACUCACGCUGCCCCCUGACACCACGCACAG